UAUUGCUAUAAACUUCCCUCUUAGAAUUGCUUUUGCUGCACCCCAUAGGUUUUUGAAUUGUUGUGUUCUGUUGUCAUUUGCUUCUAGGUAUCUUUUUUUAUUUCCUCUUUGAUUUCUUCAGGUGAUCCAUUGGUUGUUUAGUAGCAUGUUGUUUAGUCUCCACAUGUUGGUGUUUUUUUGCAGGUUUAUUCUUGUUGUUGAUUCCCAGUCAUAUAGUAUUGUGGUUGGAAAAGACGCUUGAUAUGAUUUCAAUUUUUUUUUAAUUUUCUGAGGCUUUAUUUGUGGCCCAGAAUGUGAUCUAUCCUAGAGAAUGUUCCAUAUGUGCUUGAGAAGAAUGUGUAUUCUGAUCUUUUUGGAUGGAACAUUUUAUAAAUAUCUAUUAAGUCCAUCUGGUCUAAUGCGUCAUUUAAGGCCUGUGUUUUCUUUUGAUUUUGCAUCUGGAUGAUCUGUCCAUUGCUGUAACUGGGGUGUUAAAGCCCCCCACUAUUAUUGUGUUAUUGUCAAUUUCUCUUUUUAAAGCUGUUAGCAGUAGUCUUAUAUAUUGAGGUGCUCCUAUGUUGGGAGCAUAUAUAGUUACAAUUAUUGUAUCUUCUUGGAUUGAUCCCUUCAUCAUUAUGUAAUGACCUUCUUUGGCUCAUAUUUUUUAUUUUAAAAUUUAUUUUGUCUGACAUGAGUAUUGCUACUCUGGCUUUCUUUUGAUUUCCAUUUGCAUGGAAUAUUUUCUUCCAUCAUCACACUUUCAGUUGUUAUGUGUCCUUAGAUCUGAAGUGGGUCUCUUGUAGAUGGCAUAUACAUGGGUCUUGUUUUUGUAUCCAUUUAGCCAGUCUAUGUCUUUUGUUUGGAGUCUUUAGUACAUUUACAUCUAAGAUAAUUAUUGAUAUAUAAAUUCAUAUUGCCAUUUUGUUCAUUGUUUUGGAUUUGUUUUUGUUGGUCUUUUUUUCUUCCCAUCUUCUCUUGUUCUCUUCUCUUGUGGUUUGAUAACUGUCUUUAGAGUUGUGUAUGGAUUGCUUUUUCUUAUUUGUGUGUGUAUCUAUUGCUGGUUUGGGGUUUGCAGUUACCAUGAGGUUUUGAUAUAGGAGUCUAUAUAUACACAAGAUUGUUUUAAGUUGCUGACCUUUUAAUUGCAAAUGCAUCUCCAGUGUCAUGCCUUUGUACCCACCUCUUCUCACAGUUGCUGGUUUUGAUAUCAUAUUUGUAUGUGGAUGAUCUCGUACCUUUACUAUAUGUUUGCUUUUACUGGUGAGCCUUCUCAUUUGUAAUUUUCUUGCUUCUGGUAGUGGCCUUUUCUUUUCUAUCUGGAGAAGUUCCCUUACUAUUUGUUGUAAAGCUGUUUUAGUGGUGCUGAAUUCUCUUAACUUUUGCUUGUCUGUAAAGCUUUUGAUUUCUCCUUCAAAUCUGAGAGUCUUGCUGGGUAGGGCAUUCUUGGUUGUAGGGUUUUUUUCCUUUCAUCACUUUUAAGUAUAUCAUGCCACUCCAUUCUGGCUUUCAGAGCUUUUGCUGAAAAUUCAGCUGACAGCCUUAUUGGGGUUCCUUUGUAUGUUAUUUGUUGCUUUUCCCUGUUUUCAAUAUUUUCUCUUUGUCUUAAUUUUGGUAAACUUGAUUAGUAUGUGUCUCAGGAUGUUCCUCCUUGAGUUUAAUUUAUAUGGUAUUUGUUGUGCUUCCUGGAGUUAAGUGAUUGAUUCCUUUCCCACGUUAGGCAAGUUUUUGGCUAUUAUCUCUUCAAAUAGUUUAUCUGGCCCUUUCUCUCUGUCUUCACCUUCUGGCAUCCCUAUAAUGUGAAUGUUGAUGCAUUUAAGGGUGUCCCAGAGUUCUCUUAGACACUCCUCAUUUCUUUUCAUAUUUUUUUCUUUAUUCUUUUCCACAUCAGUGAUUUCCACCAGUCUGUCUUCCACCUCACUUAUUUGUUCUGUCUCCUAUAAACUGCUAUUGGUUCCUCUAGUGAAUUUUUUAUUUUGGUUAUUGUAUUUUGGAUCUCUGCUUGUUUAAUCUUUAAAUGUUCUCUUUUUCUGUUCAGUGUUUCUUCUCAUUCAUCAAUCCUUGCCUCCAAUUUUUUCCAAGACCUUGGAUCAUCUUUACUAUCAUUAUUCUAAUAUCUUUUUCAUGGAGGCUGCUAAUCUUCACUUCAUUUAGCUAUUUUUCUGGGAUUUUGUCUAGCUCCUUCAUCUGGCUUAUAUUUCUCUGCCUUUUCAUUUUCUGUAGCUUUUCAAUCUAGUCUCUUUUUUGCAGGCUAGAGGGUUGUAACCUCUCUUGCUUUUGGUGUCUGUCCCCUCAUGGGGGCAAUUGAUACAGGGGCUUGUUACAGACUUCCUCAUGGGAGGGCUUAGUGCCUGCCCACUGAGUCUUGUCAGUAGGUGGAGCUGAAUCCUGUCCCUCUGGUGGGUGGGGCUUUGACUCUGGGUGUGAUUAAAGGCAACUGUGUGCCUAAAAGGACUCUGUUUGAUGAAGGGCGAGGCUGGGUUCCCACCCUGUUUGUUGUUUGGCCUGGGGCUUCUCAGCGCUAAUGGGUGGUGACAGAUUUUUCCAAAAUGGUAGGCUCCAGGGGAAGUCAUGUCAAUGAAUAUUCCCCGGACCUCUACCUCCAAUGUCCUGCCCCCACAAUGAGCCACAGCUGCCCCUUGCUUUCCCAGGAUACCAUUCAAGACCCUCAAGUAGGUCCAACCCAGAUUCUCAGGGAGUCUCUGCUUCACUCUGGGAUCCAGGGCACAUGGAAUCUUGUGUGUACCCUCAAAGAGUGGAGUCUGUUUCCCCAAGCCCUGUGGAGCUCCUGACCACAUGCCCCACUGGCCUUCAAAGCCAAAUGCUUUGGGGAUCCUCCUCCCAAUGCUAGACCCCUGGGCUGGGGAACCUGAUGUGGCAUUCAGAGCUCUCACUCCUGUGGGAGAGCCUCUGUGAUAUAAUUAUUUACCGGUCCGUGGUCACCCACCUGGUAAGUAUGGGAUUGCUUGUAUCAUGAAAGCACCCCUCCUACCAUCUCAAUGUGGCUUUUUCUUUGUCUUUGGGUGUAGGAUAUCUUUUCAGGUAGUUUCCAAUCUAUUUUAUUGAUGGUUGUUCAGUGAUUAGUUGUAAUUUUGGUGUUUUAGUGAGAGAAGGUGAGCUUAAGCCCUUCUACUCUGCCAUCUUGUCCCAGUCUCCUCUGAGAGCUGUUUUUAGUUUGGAUGCCUGCCAACUCUUUGCUCAGCAUAUGCUGUACUUUAUCCCUUGAUAGGAGGUAAUGGUUGACACCAGAGGGCAGUGGCUGGUGCCUAGUUACAGGCCCCUCUGUAGCAGUAGUGGGGGUAGGCUGCAUGCACACUCUCAGGGAUGUGGGGGCAGAAGUCUGGGCCCAGUUGGGAAACCCUUGGUAGCAGCAACAGGCAAUGCUUGCUCCUGGAAGGUGGGAGGAGGGAUCAGUGCCUGGUUUAGGGGCCUUCUGGGGUGUUGGCAGUGGUGGGUUGUGGGCGCUCCUGGGAAGGUAGGGGCAGUGACCACACCCACUCCUGAGACCCUCAGUGGAGGCAGUGGUGUCUGCCCACCUCUGGAGUCUGAGAUGUCAGCAGUAGCUGGCACAACCCCUGGAGCUAAUGCAAGUGGUGCUCUGUGGCCUAAGAGCCCCCACGUGGAAAAAGAAGCACCUCUGGUGGUCCUGCCCCUCCCCUUUCAUGCUCCCCAACAAUGGCACCCUGCAUCUCUGGAGGCCUAGGCUUCUUCCUGCAUUACCUCAGUUAUGGCACACCACACCCUAGACCCCUCAGGUUGUCUCCAUGCAGUCAACCUAGUCCUCUCCCCUAGUCUGACUUUGAAGCCUGAGCCUUAGCCCAGCACCCCUCACCUUAGCAGACAACAUCUCAGGAUGGCGUGCACUGGGCAGUGGCACUAACCAACCACCUAUGCAGGGCUUCUUCCUGUUUUCCCUCCACAACGUGGUUGCUACAAUCGCCUCAAGGCUCCAAAGCUUCCUCUCUGUCCUGGCUGUCUGUCAGUGAGAGGCCUUCCUGGUGUGCAGAAACCUUUCCUCUUUCACAGCUCCCUCCGAGGGGGGUGGCCUGGUCCUGAUUGCUUUCUCUCUCUCUCUCUCUUCUUUUUCUUUGACCUUUUGUCCUACCCAGUUACAUGGAGAUUUACUUGCCUUUUUGGAAGUCUGUGAUCUUCUACCAGCAUUCAGUAGAUGUUCUAUGAAAAUUGUUCCACAUGUAGAUGUAUUUUUGAUGUACUGGAUGGAAAAGGUGUGCUCUGUGUCCUACACCACUGCCAGCUUGCCCCCUCCUCCCAAAAGUGUAUGGUUUUUAAGCUUUGAGUUACUACAAAUAAUAAUACAGAAGCUCACUUGUGGGCUUAAUUUACUGUCCCCAAAACAAUCAAAUUUUAUUUGAGAUUCUAACACUUUUCCUUUUCCCCUGGGCAACUUUAUAAUAGAGGGCUGCAGGGCACAAAUUCUGUGAAACCCUGUUUGCUCUGCUGUGGUUGGAGAUUAUUUCACUGUAGUGAGAGCAUAAUCCUUUCAUUACAUCCACCACUUCCCACCCCCAAUGAAAAUAUUUUUUCAAAUAAAAGUCCUAUUUGGACUUCUCACACUGAUAACACUGCAGGAGAAAACCAGCCAUGAAGGUUUUAUUAAGGGGAACAUGCGUACUGACUGUGAUGGAGAGGAGGUGGCUGGGGGCUGCUUGCAGGACCCCAGGAUCUCAGUGGACAGCAAGAUCCAUGACACACAAAAAUCCAGAACAACAGCAGAAAGAACACAACAUAGGGCUAAAUGUUUGUAGCUCUCGAGGGCAUAGAGACCCUCCAAAAAAAGGGAAAGUGAUGUGGCCAAAAAAAUCUUCAAGGAGGUGUGGGUCUAGAAGAAAUAGGAGACUGUGGAUGGGCGAGUGGGAGGGGAAGGGCAUUUCAGGCAAAGGGAGAGACUGGGUCUGAGCUGCCGAUGGUGGGAAGCCCAGUGUAGACUGAAGACAGUGGAGACCCCAGUGUGGCCAAGAUGGGCUGUGUCAGGAGCAUCCAGGGGAAGACCAGGGGAGAGGAGAGGCCACCACAUGGACAUGGCCAGAGGGGCCCCUCUCCAGCAAAGUGUUCCCAGCUCCACAGGAAGAACCUCCAGACACACUGGAUGUCCUCAGAGAGGCCCUUUUGCUAGCAAAGUGCCUCCAUCCUCCUGAAACCCUCAGAGCCUCAGACUCUCAGUACAGUCUAUCCAGGAGGUUCUGAUGCUUAGCAUUUCUGACCCCUGACUACCAGCAUAGCUAAUGCUUCCUGAAGGGCUGACAGGAUGUCCCCCACUCUCCACGUCCUCUGCCAUGUGAUUUCGGCCUCACAAUGUUUCUGUCACAUGGAAGUCUUCGUGCCUGAGCCCAGGGUCACGCAGGUGGGAGACGGCAGAGCUAGGACCCAAACCCAGGCUUCUCUGAUCCACACGUAUGAAUUUACCAUGCUUCAACACUGCUGCCCUCCCCAUCCUGCCAAAGGAACUGUGAAGCUCUUUUGUCUUGGCAUUCGUCCUCAGCGUAAGCAGUAGCAGUAUGCUGGCACAUACAGCAUCACCGAUGGAAAUGCCGAUUGUGCUUUUUCACAGGUGACCAUUUACCACUGGGACCUGCCCCAGGCACUUCAGGAUGUUGGAGGCUGGGAGAAUGAGACCAUUGUGCAACGGUUUAAGGAGUAUGCAGAUGUGCUUUUCCAGAGGCUAGGGGACAAGGUGAAGUUUUGGAUCACACUGAAUGAGCCCUUUGUUGUGGCUCAGCAAGGCUAUGGCUAUGGAAUAUCAGCUCCAGGAAUCUCCUCUAGGCCUGGCACUGCCCCCUACAUUGUUGGCCACAACCUAAUCAAGGCUCAUGCUGAGGCCUGGCAUCUGUACAAUGAUGUGUACCGCGCCAGUCAAGGUGGCGUGAUUUCUAUCACCAUCAGCAGCAACUGGGCUGAGCCUAGAGACCCUUCCAACCAGGAGGAUGUGGAGGCAGCCAGGAGAUACGUUCAGGUCUGCUUUGCAUCUGGGCACUGUUUUUACUCUUGCUCUUUUCCCCCUUGCAUCAUAAUCAAAAUGAGGUACAAUGAGAUUGCAAGGGAAGGAUUUAGGAUUUAGGUGCUGUUUUGUUAUUACCUGAUUUUGUGAACUUGGGGAUAUCCUGUAAUGCUUUUGUACCGUAGUCUUCUCAUCUUUGAAAGGGAGGUGACCUAACUACCUCAUAGGUUUGCUGUGAUGAAAGUUCAUUGGGGUUGAGUUUUCUUUAAAGUCUUAAAAGGUUAUUAUACAUGUAGUUCUUACUGGAUGCAACAUUGGUCUGAAGCUAAAUAAGAGAAUUCUAUCUCUUCAGUCUGUAGUUUGACAAUAGUAGCUUCAGAGAGUUGGGCUGGAAUUCCUGUCGUGGCUCAGUGGUUAACGAAUCUGACUAGGAACCAUGGGGUUGUGGGUUCGAUCCCUUGCCUUGCUCAGUGGGUUAAGGACCCAGCAUUGCCAUGAACUGUGGUGUAGGUUGCAGCCGCGGCUGAGAUCCUGCUUUGCUGUGGCUCUGGCAUAGGCUGGGGGCUAUAGCUCCAAUUAGACCCCUAGCCUGGGAACCUCCAUAUGCUGCGGAAGCGGCCCCAGAAAUG
rnacentral:lncRNA from 1 species